GACGAACGCUGGCGGCGUGCUUAACACAUGCAAGUCGAACGGAAAGGCCCUGCUUUUGUGGGGUGCUCGAGUGGCGAACGGGUGAGUAACACGUGAGUAACCUGCCCUUGACUUUGGGAUAACUUCAGGAAACUGGGGCUAAUACCGGAUAGGAGCUCCUGCUGCAUGGUGGGGGUUGGAAAGUUUCGGCGGUUGGGGAUGGACUCGCGGCUUAUCAGCUUGUUGGUGGGGUAGUGGCUUACCAAGGCUUUGACGGGUAGCCGGCCUGAGAGGGUGACCGGCCACAUUGGGACUGAGAUACGGCCCAGACUCCUACGGGAGGCAGCAGUGGGGAAUAUUGCACAAUGGGCGGAAGCCUGAUGCAGCAACGCCGCGUGCGGGAUGACGGCCUUCGGGUUGUAAACCACUUUCGCCUGUGACGAAGCGUGAGUGACGGUAAUAGGUAAAGAAGCACCGGCUAACUACGUG
rnacentral:rRNA from 1 species